GGGUGGGGCGUAGCCGUGAGGGGAGCUGUGGUGCGGCACCGCCGGACAAUUUGGAAUUCGACCUUGCAGGGAAGGAGGUGUUGCAUGAACUCAAAUCAAGGUUAACCAUUCCCAUGAUACUGCAGGACAAUUUAUUGCUGUGCGGGCCUUGGGAAGGAGGAAAGCCAUCCUCAGAGCCUGGAAAAAGCAGGGAAAUAAAGCGUUGGAUUUGGAAAUGAGCACAGCCAGCUGGAAUUUUAUGUCCUCACAGCUUUUUUUGGAAUGCAAACAAACAUUUCUGUUUUGUCUUCGGGGUGACCUGACCCACUUUGGUUUGAAGCCUCCAUGAGGUGCUGCUGUUGGGAUCGAUGCUGGAAAAUCACGGAAAACAGGAAUUUCUGCCUGCUACAAGCUCAGGGUAAGGAUUAAUGCACUUUUUAGCCCCCAAAAAAGUGGUGGAGCCCACCAGAAUAAAACUAUUUGACUGUGUUGGCAGAGGAAUGCGGCUGCUGGUGUUGGGAUCGGUGCUGAAAAAUCACAGAAAACAGGAAUUUUUGUCUGCUACAAGCUCAGGGUAAGGAUUAACGCACUUGAGGUGCUGCUGUUGGGAUUGGUGCUGGAAAAUCAUGGAAAACAGGAAUUCCUGGUCUUCUACAAGCUCAGGGUAAGGAUUAAUGCACUUGAGGUGCUGCUGUUGGGAUUGCUGCUGUAAAAUCACAAAAAUCAGGAAUUUUUGCCUGCUACAAGCUCAGGGGAGGGAUUAAUGCACUUUUUAACCCCCAAAAAAGUGGGAAAUGAAACAAUUUGGCCACGUAGGCAGAGCAGGAUCAUUCCCAGCUUGAACCACAGAAAGAACCGAGCCCUGCUGGUUCUCCAGGGGUUAUUCCAGCCCCAAACCAUCCCAAACUGGGAACAGGCAGCGCUGGAGCUGCCCCAGAGCCAGGCAGGGAUUCCCUUUCCCAUAACCUGCCCCAAUUCCCCUCCCCGGGAGAGGCAGGGCCCGCCUGUGUAAUUCAAGCUGCUUUGGGAUUAUUUCCUGCACCGAAGUUGUUGUUUUGUUGGGUUUUUUCUCUCCCCAACUCGCUUUUCUGGUUUGGAGCCCUGGGGGAGCAAUGGGAGGGCGCUGCUGGAGGUGAUUUUGGGAGGUUCUGAGCACAGGAGGCUGCGAGGGGGGCUGGAGCUCCUGGGUUUGUCCUGCACUCAGCAAAAUUUCCUUAUUCCUUUGCUUUUCCUUUCCUUAUUCCUUUCCCCUUCCCUUUUCUUUUCCUUAUUCCUUUCUUCU